rnacentral:rRNA from 1 species
UACGUAGGUGGCAAGCGUUGUCCGGAUUUACUGGGCGUAAAGGGCGCGCAGGCGGUCGUUCAAGUCGCGUGUGAAAGCCCCCGGCUCAACUGGGGAGGGUCACGCGAUACUGAUCGAUUCGAAGGCAGGAGAGGGUAGUGGAAUUCCCGGUGUAGUGGUGAAAUGCGUAGAUAUCGGGAGGAACACCAGUGGCGAAGGCGACUACCUGGCCUGUUCUUGACGCUGAGGCGCGAAAGCUAGGGGAGCAAACGGG